UUAAACCUUCCCAAUUGAGUCCUUAUAAGUGCUAAUUUCAAAUAAAUUAACUUCUGCCAUUAAAAAUGGUUAACGGUGUUAUAAAAUACUGGAGAGAUGGAUAGAUGAUGUGUGAAUUUUUAAAAACUUGGCAUGCUGACGUGAGAGUAAUGUGCCUAUGAACCUCUCUUAUUCUUUUUUCCAAUUUUUCAGACAGUCACUGGAGUUCAUCACGCUUCAUCGUCUCCUCCACCACCACCAAUGCAAACCCUCACGCCAUCGCAAGAAGAAGCCAUCGAGAGUUUCGUCAGUAUUAUCACAGUAUUAUCACCAUCGUUCUUCAUCUGGUUUCUCUCAGCCGUAGCAAUUUCUAUGGCCAACCUCUCUCCUUCUCAUCUCUAAUCACCUAAAACAGCCCCUCACCAUGCCCAAUCUUCAUCAACACAGCUACCUCCAUAAUAUUACCUUCACAUACUACAACAACACACAGAACAUCCUUUUCUUCAUUUUCCUAUCUCCAUUGCCAAGCCAAGAUGGCCCAACCAAACCCCUCACCUUUUCCCCAUUGAUUUUGGUAGAGAAUCGCUCAAAUUCAUCGUUCUUCUUCUUCUACCCUCACGGCCCAGCUUUAACAGGGGUAACACGCACAAAAUCUCAACCCCAAUCACCAUUCUAUUCUCUUCCACCCCACACACAUAACACCUAAGCCAGGGACACCACCACGUCUUCAUACAACAUCACCAAACUGAACUGAAGAUACCCUUACCGCGACUGUGCAUACACCCCAUGGUGGUCGCGGUUGAAGAUGAACAACCCUCUCUCUGUCUCUCUGCUGCGCAUAUCCCUUUCAGAGUCCAUCCUUGAAGCCAUAGCCCCAGGCAUUUAGGGUUUUCCACUGGACAACCUGUCCUCACACGAAUCCAACUCAUAAACUUCAUCUUCUUCACGAGUUCGUACCAUAGCGGGCGCGACAAGCGAUGGAGCAGGGGAGUUUCCGUUCCAGCUCGCGACGGCUCCGGUGACGAACGACGUCGAUGAUAGGGUCUUCGGGCCGCCACCGGCAUCAGCCGGUUUCGCUGGCGGCGGAUGGUCCCGUCGGGAUCAGGCAGAGAGGGUAGGAGAUUGAAUCCCAAUUCCCUUUUUUUAUUUAACUCAACCCUAAUUCCCUUUUUAAUUACAAUUUAUAAAGUAAUGAUCAUUACCAAAUUUUAAUCACUGCUAAACGCCACGUAUCACUCAUAUUCCUGCCACCUUUCACCUGAAAGUUAAACAUUGAACAUGUCAUCUAUCCACCUCUGCAGUAUUUUAACACCGUUAACAAUUUUUAAUAGCAGGGGCUAAUUUGCUUGAAAUUAGCACUU
rnacentral:lncRNA from 1 species